rnacentral:rRNA from 1 species
CACCCGGUAAGCAGGAAACCCUGAUCCAGCGAUACCGCGUGUGUGAAGAAGGCCUUCGGGUUGUAAAGCACUUUAGGUGGGGAAGAAAGGUAGACGAGGAAUAUUUGUCUGCUAUGACGGUACCCGCAAAAUAAGCACCGGCUAACUCUGUGCCAGCAGCCGCGGUAAUAC